GAUGAACGCUAGCGGCAGGCCUAAUACAUGCAAGUCGAACGAGAUUAAGGAGCUUGCUCCUUAUGAAAGUGGCGCACGGGUGCGUAACGCGUAUGCAACCUACCUUAAUCAGGGGGAUAGCCCGAAGAAAUUCGGAUUAACACCGCAUACAAACACAUGGAAGCAUUAUCCAAUGUUCAAAUAUUUAUAGGAUUAACAUGGGCAUGCGUGUCAUUAGCUAGUUGGCGGGGUAACGGCCCACCAAGGCGACGAUGACUAGGGGAUCUGAGAGGAUGACCCCCCACACUGGUACUGAGACACGGAACAGACUCCUACGGGAGGCAGCAGUAAGGAAUAUUGGUCAAUGGAGGCAACUCUGAACCAGCCAUGCCGCGUGCAGGAAGACUGCCCUAUGGGUUGUAAACUGCUUUUAUCCGGGAAUAAACCUAAUUACGUGUAAUUAGCUGAAUGUACCGGAAGAAUAAGGAUCGGCUAACUCCGUGCCAGCAGCCGCCGUAAAAC
rnacentral:rRNA from 1 species